UGUCUCACAGCAGAUAACGGAAUAAAUAAACAGUCCAAAAAAACUCGCUAUCUUAUAUUGACUUAAAAUAUCUUUAUAAUAAAGGCAUUUGGGCCGUCGUCGUCAAGUGCGCACUGAGCUUCAGCAGCGAACAACAUUUCUCAGUCCCAACAUGCAAGCGUUUUAAUCCAUUUUUCAGGUAUUAGCCCUCGGGCAUCUGCUGACGGCUGUCCUAGCCGAUGCACAGCAGAGGAAAUACGACACCAACUUCGAUGACGUCAGGCCGGGAAUGACUUUUUCGAAUAACGCACAUACAGUCAAUCAAGACAGGGCAGGUCCAUUAUUAAUUGACUUUGAAUAGGGAGAUUUCCUGGGCAAGGAAGAAGAGAUAAUAGUGCGUUGAACAGUUGGCCGAAAAGUGGAAGCCAGGUGCUACGGAACCGUAAGUCAACUGUUCGAUCCUCGGGGACAACAUUUUAUUUAUUUAUUUUUUAAGAUAGUUAUUUAGAGUUUGAAAAUAAUAAAUACACGAUUUUGUAAA